GACGAACGCUGGCGGCGUGCUUAACACAUGCAAGUCGAACGGAAAGGCCCUGCUUGCAGGGUACUCGAGUGGCGAACGGGUGAGUAACACGUGGGUGAUCUGCCCUGCACUUCGGGAUAAGCCUGGGAAACUGGGUCUAAUACCGGAUAGGAGCCAUUUUUAGUGUGAUGGUUGGAAAGUUUUUUCGGUGUAGGAUGAGCUCGCGGCCUAUGAGCUUGUUGGUGGGGUAAUGGCCUACCAAGGCGGCGACGGGUAGCCGGCCUGAGAGGGUGGACGGCCACAUUGGGACUGAGAUACGGCCCAGACUCCUACGGGAGGCAGAAGUGGGGAAUAUUGCACAAUGGGGGCAAGCCUGAUGCAGCGACGCCGCGUGGGGGAUGACGGCCUUCGGGUUGUAAACUCCUUUCGCUAGGGACGAAGCUUUUGUGACGGUACCUAGAUAAGAAGCACCGGCUAACUACGUG
rnacentral:rRNA from 1 species